UCAGAGCCAGCCCAGUUUUAACCUAACCAAUACAUGGCUGAAUCGGCUCCUCACAACAGGAGCUUCAUGACUUCUAGACUCAGAUGUAGAAGCCACGUCUGCCAUGAACACAAGGAGAAUUGAAAACUCAGCCUUCCAACUCUCAAUUGAGAAACUGAAUGGGAAGAAUUACAAAGAAUGGGCACAGUCGAUAAAGCUAAUAAUCGACGGAAAAGGGAAACUUGGAUAAUUACUGGAGAAACCAAGGUGCCGGCCUCAACCAACACGGAUCUCCUUCAGAAGUAGGAGUCGGAGAACUUGAUGGCGACUGCCUAGCUUGUCAAUUCCAUGAAGCCGAACAUCGAAAAAUCAUAUUUAUUUCUCCCAACUGCAAAAGAGGUUUGGGAAGCAGUUAAAGAAAUGUAUUCAGUCACAAAGAAUUUUUCUAGAAUUUUCGAAAUCAAAUCGAAGUUAUGGCAGACAAAGCAAGGAGAUCGAGAUGUGAUGGAUUAUUACGUGGGGAUGAACGAAUUAUGGCAAGAAUUAGACAUGAGUACCGAGGAAGAAUGGAAGUGUGCAGAAGAUAGCGUGCGGUAUACAAAAAAAUUGGAAACUGAAAGGGUGUUCGAGUUUCUAGCAGGUCUUCAUCUCGACCUAGAUGAUGUUCGUGGUCGAAUACUUGGCCGGCGUCCUCUUCCAUUGCCACGUGAAGUGUUUUCAACGGUGAGAAAAGAAGAAGACCGGCGGAAAGUCAUGUUGAGCGAGUCUAGUGCGCCGGCACUAGAAGUGUC
rnacentral:lncRNA from 1 species